rnacentral:rRNA from 1 species
AUAAACUUGAGAGUUUGAUCAUGGCUCAGAAUGAACGCUGGCGGCAUGCCUAACACAUGCAAGUCGAACGAUGCUUUCG